CUGAGCUGGGCACACGGGAGGGGAUGGAAGCGGUGGGCGAGGGGGCCAGCAGGAGAGUCUGAGCGUCCUGUUCUUGCCCCAGGGCUCUGGGGGUGCAAGGCAGAGAGGCCAAGCCAGCCUGGGCCACCCUGGUCCCAGAGGUCGAGCUGGCCCAGCUGCUCCAGCAGUGUGCACGGACACCGCCCACAUCUCCAGACAUGAGGACAGUGGUGCGGGGCUGGGGCUGGGCAGUGCUGGGCCGGCGGAGGGAACCCGGGAAGGCAGGGACUUCACAACCCUCAUGAAACACAGACGCUGGGGUCUGGGGUGAGAAGGACUCGCGGCUGGGGCCACAGGUCAGACAGUGGGUCCCCAUCACCAGGACUGCAAGGUGGUAUGUGGGCAUCGGCAGGUGGGACAGAUGUCCCUGGAGAGCCUGCACCACCUCAGGUCCUAAGACAUCUGGGAAAUGAAGCAGGCAGGAGGUAUCCAGGGCCCCAAGAGAGCCACAGACAGAGCCACCAGGCCCAGGUACACAGCCCAAGGGGCCCUGGAGAAGGACCCCCAGGGGCACCGAAGCAGAAGCCCAUGGAGUACCCCAAGGAGGGAAGAGAAGAAUCCGGAAACAAAGCCUCGGGGAAGAACCGCACCUGACCUCCCUCCUGCCUGGUGGAAGCUGUCCACGCUGCCGGCACAGCCCCCGGAGGGAAAUAACCAAGCCCGCCCCUGAGGAUCUAGAACCUGCUAUCAGCUUCACAGCUGAAUCCAAAUUCCCAAACUCCCAAGUACUGGUGUACAGUGAAGGAUUAACUGAACUCACAGAAAGUCUGACCUUUCCCCCGGCUCCUGGGGCGGUCACCUCUAGGCCCUUGAAGAGUCCCGCCUGAUGAGAGUGUCUUUGUUUACCUGAGGGCUUAGCCACCCUGAACAGCCUAUGCUAAUGAUAAGAUUCAUGGUGGGGCCUUGAACCACAGGGCAUCAGCUUGACGUGCGGAGGUGCUGGAGGUUAAGGUCAGUCACAUGGUGUCAGCCGUGCCCACGUGACCAAGGCCCAGCAAAGACUCUGGACACCGAGGCUGGCGGAGCGUCCCUGGUUGGCAAUGCUGUGUGCCAUCACACGCUGUUGUCAUGAGGAGUUAACACUGUCCAGGACUCCACGGAGAGGGACAGCUCGAAGCUCUGUGCUGGGAACCCUCCUGGGCUCACCCCAUGGGUCCCUCCCCUUGGCUGACUUAAACCUGCAUCUGUAAUAAACUAUAACUGUGAGUGCA
rnacentral:lncRNA from 1 species